CUGUAGCAAGGUUAACCGUAUAGGGGAGCCGUAGGGAAACCGAGUCUUAACCGGGCGUUAAGUUGCAGGGUAUAGACCCGAAACCCGGUGAUCUAGCCAUGGGCAGGUUGAAGGUUGGGUAACACUAACUGGAGGACCGAACCGACUAAUGUUGAAAAAUUAGCGGAUGACCUGUGGCUGGGGGUGAAAGGCCAAUCAAACCGGGAGAUAGCUGGUUCUCCCCGAAAGCUAUUUAGGUAGCGCCUCGUGAAUUCAUCUCCGGGGGUAGAGCACUGUUUCGGCUAGGGGGCCAUCCCGGCUUACCAACCCGAUGCAAACUGCGAAUACCGGAGAAUGUUAUCACGGGAGACACACGGCGGGUGCUAACGUCCGUCGUGAAGAGGGAAACAACCCAGACCGCCAGCUAAGGUCCCAAAGUCAUGGUUAAGUGGGAAACGAUGUGGGAAGGCCCAGACAGCCAGGAUGUUGGCUUAGAAGCAGCCAUCAUUUAAAGAAAGCGUAAUAGCUCACUGGUCGAGUCGGCCUGCGCGGAAGAUGUAACGGGGCUAAACCAUGCACCGAAGCUGCGGCAGCGAACGUAUCACUUAAAGCGAUUCAGCGGGUUACGAUUGACGGAGCGAAGCGACGUCAAAGCGUAUACAAAGUCGAGUCGGUUUAAGGAUACGUUCGUUGGGUAGGGGAGCGUUCUGUAAGCCUGUGAAGGUGUGUCGUGAGGCAUGCUGGAGGUAUCAGAAGUGCGAAUGCUGACAUAAGU
rnacentral:rRNA from 1 species